CACGAGCGGCGGACGGCUGAGUAAUGCAUUGGAACGUACCCCAAACUGAGGGAUAAUCCACCGAAAGGUGGACUAAUACCGCAUGUGCCAUUCGUGGUAAAGCUACGGCGGUUUGGGAGCGGCCAAUGUUCGAUUAGCUAGUUGGUGAGGUAAUAGCUCACCAAGGCUACGAUCGAUAGCGGGUCUGAGAGGAUGAUCCGCCAGACUGGAACUGAGACACGGUCCAG
rnacentral:rRNA from 1 species